CAAAGCAGUGAUGCAGAGCAAAUCCCAAAAGCAGUCUUAGUUCGGAUUGUAGGCUGCAACUCGCCUACAUGAAGUCGGAAUUGCUAGUAAUCGCGGAUCAGCAUGCCGCGGUGAAUACGUUCCCGGGCCUUGUACACACCGCCCGUCACACCAUGAGAGUCGGGAACACCCGAAGUCCGUAGCCUAACCGCAAGGAGGGCGCGGCCGAAGGUGGGUUCGAUAAUUGGGGUGAAGUCGUAACAAGGUAUC
rnacentral:rRNA from 1 species